rnacentral:rRNA from 1 species
UAGAGUUUGAUCCUGGCUCAGAACGUACGCUGGCGGCACGCCUAACACAUGCAAGUCGAACGAAGUAGCAAUACUUAGUGGCAGACGGGUGAGUAACAUGUGGGUAUCUGCCCUUUGGCCUGGAAUAACACGAGGAAACUUGUGCUAAUACCGGAUAAGUCUUUACGGAGAAAGCUUUAUGCACCAUUGGAUGAGCCCGCACUUGAUUAGUUUGUUGGUGGGGUAAUGGCCUACCAAGACUGUGAUCAAUAGCUGAUUUGAGAGGAUGAUCAGCCACAUUGGGACUGAGACACGGCCCAAAUUCCUACGGGAGGCUGCAGUGGGGAAUCUUGCACAAUGGAGGAAACUCUGAUGCAGCGAUGCCGCGUGAGUGAAGAAGGCCCUUGGGUUGUAAAGCUCUUUCGUCGGGGAAGAAAAUGACUGUACCCGAAUAAGAAGGUCCGGCUAACUUCGUGCCAGCAGCCGCGGUAAUACGAAGGGACCUAGCGUAGUUCGGAAUUACUGGGCUUAAAGAGUUCGUAGGUGGUUGAAAAAGUUGGUGGUGAAAUCCCAGAGCUUAACUCUGGAACUGCCAUCAAAACUUUUCAGCUAGAGUAUGAUAGAGGAAAGCAGAAUUUCUAGUGUAGAGGUGAAAUUCGUAGAUAUUAGAAAGAAUACCAAUUGCGAAGGCAGCUUUCUGGAUCAUUACUGACACUGAGGAACGAAAGCAUGGGUAGCGAAGAGGAUUAGAUACCCUCGUAGUGCAUGCCGUAAACGAUGUGUGUUAGACGUUGGAAAUUUAUUUUCAGUGUCGCAGCGAAAGCGAUAAACACACCGCCUGGGGAGUACGACCGCAAGGUUAAACCUCAAAUGAAUUGACGGGGACCCGCACAAGUAGUGGAGCAUGUGGUUUAAUUCGAAGAUACGCGCAGAAUCUUACCAACACUUGACAUGUUCGUCGCGACUCUAAGAGAUUAGAGUUUUCGGUUCGGCCGGACGAAACACAGGUGCUGCAUGGCUGUCGUCAGCUCGUGUCGUGUGAUGUUGGGUUAAGUCCCGCAACGAGCGCAACCCUCACUUUUAGUUGCCAUCAUUAAGUUGGGCACUCUGAAAGAACUGCCAGUGAUAAGCUGGAGGAAGGUGGGGAUGACGUCAAGUCCUCAUGGCCCUUACGUGCUGGGCUACACACGUGCUACAAUGGUAUCUACAACAGGAAGCAAGACUGCGAGGUCAAGCAAAUCCUUAAAUGAUACCUCAGUUCGGAUUGCACUCUGCAACUCGAGUGCAUGAAGCUGGAAUUACUAGUAAUCGUGGAUCAGCGUGCCACGGUGAAUGCGUUCCCGGGUCUUGUACACACCGCCCGUCACACCAUGGGAGUUGGUUCUACCUUAAGGCAAGGCUUUAAACCCUUGACCACGGUAUAGUCAGCGACUGGGGUGAAGUCGUAACAAGGUAACCA